rnacentral:rRNA from 1 species
UCAGGUGCGAAAGCGUGGGGAGCAAACAGGAUUAGAUACCCUGGUAGUYCACGCCGUAAACGAUGUCGACUUGGAGGUUGUGCCCUUGAGGYGUGGCUUCCGGAGCUAACGCGUUAAGUCGACCGCCUGGGGAGUACGGCCGCAAGGUUAAAACUCAAAUGAAUUGACGGGGGCCCGCACAAGCGGUGGAGCAUGUGGUUUAAUUCGAUGCAACGCGAAGAACCUUACCUACUCUUGACAUCCAGAGAACUUWSCAGAGAUGGWUUGGUGCCUUCGGGAACUCUGAGACAGGUGCUGCAUGGCUGUCGUCAGCUCGUGUUGUGAAAUGUUGGGUUAAGUCCCGCAACGAGCGCAACCCUUAUCCUUUGUUGCCAGCGGUYMGGCCGGGAACUCAAAGGAGACUGCCAGUGAUAAACUGGAGGAAGGUGGGGWWGACGUCAAGUCAUCAUGGCCCUUACGAGUAGGGCUACACACGUGCUACAAUGGCGCAUACAAAGAGAAGCGACCUCGCGAGAGCAAGCGGACCUCAUAAAGUGCGUCGUAGUCCGGAUUGGAGUCUGCAACUCGACUCCAUGAAGUCGGAAUCGCUAGUAAUCGUGGAUCAGAAUGCCACGGUGAAUACGUUCCCGGGCCUUGUACACACCGCCCGUCACACCAUGGGAGUGGGUUGCAAAAGAARUAGKUAGCUUAACCUUCGGGAGGGCGCUUACCACUUUUGAUU